AGCGGAAGUAGCUCAGUUGGUAGAGCAUCAGCCUUCCAAGUUGAAUGUCGCGGGUUCGAAUCCCGUCUUCCGCUCUAA
rnacentral:tRNA from 1 species